GAUGAACGCUGGCGGCGUGCCUAAUACAUGCAAGUCGAGCGAACGGACGAGAAGCUUGCUUUUCUGAUGUUAGCGGCGGACGGGUGAGUAACACGUGGAUAACCUACCUAUAAGACUGGGAUAACUUCGGGAAACCGGAGCUAAUACCGGAUAAUAUUUUGAACCGCAUGGUUCAAAAGUGAAAGACGGUCUUGCUGUCACUUAUAGAUGGAUCCGCGCUGCAUUAGCUAGUUGGUAAGGUAACGGCUUACCAAGGCAACGAUGCAUAGCCGACCUGAGAGGGUGAUCGGCCACACUGGAACUGAGACACGGUCCAGACUCCCACGGGAGGCAGCAGUAGGGAAUCUUCCGCAAAGGGCGAAAGCCUGACGGAGCAACGCCGCGUGAGUGAUGAAGGUCUUCGGAUCGUAAAACUCUGUUAUUAGGGAAGAACAUAUGUGUAAGUAACUGUGCACAUCUUGACGGUACCUAAUCAGAAAGCCACGGCUAACUACGUG
rnacentral:rRNA from 1 species